AGAAAUUCUGCUUAGGGUCUCCUCAGUGAUGGAGCUGCCAUUGAGUCAAGCUCAGUUCUGCACAUUCCUGAUGCUUGCAGUUUCAAACAUGCUGCUGUGGGAGAAAGUUUCAUCCAUUCCUGCAUGUCUUGCGGAAGAGGGUGGCUGCUGGAACCCCAUUGUGGAAACAUUUAACAGUGCCAUGCAGCGAGGUGAAACCCUCCGUAAUCUUGCUGACCAAUUAUAUACAGAGCUUUAUCACAAUCAAUUCUCAUCUGAACAAUUUUUGGCUCUUAACUCAAAACUGAUUAGGAGGGAUAAGACUGCUGUCAGAGCUGGAACAUACUGCCAUUCGACUCUCUCAAACUCCCCAGAUGGGGAAACUAAGCAUGCAGAUGUUGAAACCGAAAAAUAUUUAAAAAUGUUGAUCAAUUUUGUGGGUGCCUGGAUCAGCCCUCUAUACCAU
rnacentral:lncRNA from 1 species